CACAGGUCAAAUCAUGGUCACAGUGAAGGAGCAGGAUCUGCUGAAGGGCAACCAGUGCAUUUUCCUGAGCCAAACUAGCCAUUUGAAUACCGGUGGAACUAGCUGGGUUGGAUAUCCCUACUGGUCCCAUGAGAAUCCAUGAAAGAAAUGAGUCCUGUUUGCCUGCUCCCUGCUCUGCUGCAACUAAGCCUCGUUGCAUCAAAAUGUCUCAAAAUUCCACAUCAGAGGUCAAAGCUGUCCCUACUGUUGUCUUGCCUGGCUGGCCCCAAUCUAGUUCACCUAAGCUCCACCUUCAGCGAUCAGAACCCAUAGUGCUCUUUGUGGGACCUGGACCCCAAGGAAGAAGAAUGUGUGUCCCUGCACAUUCACAUGACUGUAUUUGUGUGUGUUGGGAAGGCUACUUGUGUGAGGGAGGAGAGAAAAUACAUCCAGUUUUCUCCAGAAUCACAACCUGGAAAGAAGAGGAGUCAGGAGGCUGAGGUCUAGGACUCUGAUGUGGUUUGGCUGUGUCCUCACCCAAAUCUCAUCUUGAAUUGUAGCUCUCAUAAUACCCAUAUGUUGUGGGAAGGACCUGGUGGGAGAUAACUGAACCAUGGGGAUGGGUUUUCCCCUGCUGUUCUCAUGGUAGUGAAUAAGUCUCACGAGAUCUGAUGAUUUUAAAAGGGGAAACCCCUUCCACUUGUCCAUGAUUCUCUCUUGUCUGUCGCCAUGUAAGACGUGCUUUUGUUUCUGCCAUGAUUGUGAGGCUGCCAUGUGGAAUUGUGAGUCCAUUAAACCUCCCAGUCACGUGGAACUGUGAGUCCAUUAAACUUCUUUUUCUUUACAAAUUAC
rnacentral:lncRNA from 1 species